rnacentral:rRNA from 1 species
UACGGGGGGAGCAAGCGUUGUUCGGAUUUACUGGGCGUAAAGGGCGCGUAGGCGGCCACCGCAAGUCGACUGUGAAAUCUCCGGGCUUAACCCGGAAAGGUCAGCUGAUACUGUGCGACUAGAGUGCGGAAGGGGCAACUGGAAUUCUUGGUGUAGCGGUGAAAUGCGUAGAUAUCAAGAGGAACACCUGCGGCGAAGGCGGGUUGCUGGGCCGACACUGACACUGAGGCGCGAAAGCCAGGGGAGCGAACGGG